ACUAGAAUAACCACCAUGGCUGCACCCUGCACUGAAAACAAUCACAAACAAGGCACACUGGAAUUUGCUCUGGACGUCCCGUUCCCAUCAACUCGCGAAGCGUCCAUCGCGCUCCAGUCCCUCUCCCCAAACCGCGAGCCCCGGAAAGGAGGCAUCAGCAAGGAGCUCACUGUUUCCGGUAGCACGCUGUCUGUGAGGUGGAGGGCAGAUGAGGCCCGUAUCCUGCGUGUCUCUGUAGGGUCGUUUAUGGACCACCUCUCCCUGGUGAUGGAAACCAUGGAGUUGUUCGGACCACCUGUCCCUCAGUGACCACUCACACACUCAGUAGUCUCUGUUCUACAAUGACCUGCAGAGAACCAAGAGGAGCAGUGUUAUGCUGAACAGAGGGGUCUCUCUGGCCGACAGACCCAGCAGAAGCAUGCUGUGCACCUCGGUACAGAGCGACAUGUCCCACUUUCAAUCCUCUGCUAUUCAAAUUGAAGGAACUGGAUUGUCUUACACCAAUGCAACAUUUCUGUAGUUGUUGCAUUAGAAUGUGAUUUAGAGCAGUGGGCCUGCAGGUCUAAGACUUAAAAAAAAGACAACUGACACAUUUCCAUAAAGUAGACAUUUAUGUUUUAC